rnacentral:rRNA from 1 species
UGGGGAAUAUUGGACAAUGGGCGCAAGCCUGAUCCAGCCAUGCCGCGUGAGUGAUGAAGGCCCUAGGGUUGUAAAGCUCUUUUGGCGGGGAAGAUAAUGACGGUACCCGCAGAAUAAGCCCCGGCUAACUUCGUGCCAGCAGCCGCGGUAAUACGAAGGGGGCUAGCGUUGCUCGGAAUCACUGGGCGUAAAGCGCACGUAGGCGGAUUCUUAAGUCAGAGGUGAAAGCCUGGAGCUCAACUCCAGAACU